CCAGAAGGCUGAAGGAGCCUCUGGAGAAGAAGGCGAGGGCCGCCUGCCGCCAUCGCGGGGAGCCCCGCUGCGGGCCGUGGGGCUCAGGGCCGAGGAAACCAAGCUUUUAUUGCUGGAUAAAAAUAGAACGUGCGCAAACCGCUCUUCAGGCUGCUCGGUUGGGUUUGUGGCUAUUGGGAACGUGUUGGGGUGCGGUGAGCUGGGUCUGACUGUGCCGUCAGUAAACCCACCGCUGUUCUGAGAGAAAUCACCCGUCGUCCCGGUACAAAUCCCAGCAGCCGCGGUGUGACAGGCUUUGGUGACUGCUGGAUGCUGGCAUGUCGUUAAACAGCCCAACUCGGAACAGUUUGCUUACAUGCAGUCCUGUUUCAAAUUAAUAAGAAUCACAUCAAGAUGAUGCAAGAUAGACUCAUAGCCUCAUGCAAGAAAUAUGUACAAAUCUUGCACAAUCCACGCGUAGCGAUUGCGUUGUUUUGGCACCAGCGAGAGUACGUUUGCUGACACACUGCUGAGCAAAGGGACAGUGACAGUUUUUCUUAGAAAACUCAAAAGAUAUGCAAGAAACUGUCUUCUUCCACAGACCGCAUGUACUUAUCUAUGAUUUAUCAGAAAUGGCUCAAGAAGCUGACCUCAAGCUCCAAGUGCUGCUUGCUCCUUGCAAGGCCUUACGUUAUGGGGAUUUGUUCAUCUACCUCCAGUCAAACACAGUUACACUGUGAUAAGAAUGUACUGAAAAUUCAAACUGGUAUUGUAAAAGAGAGGAACUUAUUUUAGUACAGAGAGGUUGGAACCAACUUUUGCUUACGUGUUUUUUCAUUAAUAGAUUUUGUUUUCCAUUUAAAGGAAAAUAAUUUCCACUCUUAGUAAUGAAAUGGUCCACCUAACAGCAAUACAUGGAGUACUGUAGAUCUCCCAGCAAGUGUCAUGGGUUGGACUGACUUCCCAUCUAUUUAAAAAUGUGAUCUGUUGCCGUGAAUGUGUCGCGUAAAAAAAGCAGUUAAAAAUCCCAAAAAAGCAGUUAAAAAAAAAUCUCCCUCAUCCCCACUCAUAAAUCAGGAACUGAAACACUUCUUUGUAUCCUGCCUGACUUUUCAAGAUGGGAUUUUAGUGCUUCAGAAAAUUGCCAUGAUUUUGUAUUUGUACACUGUGUGGUGGUAAAAGAAAGCUACAGAUUCAUUUGUGGUUUCUAAGCACUGCCUAUUACAAUACAUAUUAAGCCAAGUUUAACAAGGACUUAAAUCAUGGUAUAAGUUUCUGAUUAUGUGCAGAUUGUUCCUAAAAGAAGAAUAUGUGAUAAAAUGAAGUCAGUUGAGCAAAUUCAGCUCAACAAGCAUGCAAAACAAAUGCUUAUGAGGAAGAAGUGUGGGAAGAAGAUCUAUACAUCUGGGGAGAACUGGUAAAUCUUACACUCUCCUGUGAGUUACUCAUGUCAUCAUGGGCUGGGGAUUAGGUGUUUUGGAGUAAUUGCCAUCAGUGAUGUGCUUGGCCUCCCUGCUAUGGAGAAGCUAUAGAGCACACAGUGCAUGCAGCAGCACUGGCAAGUGCGGUUGAGUUUGAAGGAGCUGGAAAUGCUCUGGGUUGUGCUGGGAGGUUUGGGAUCCAUAGGAAAGAGAUUCCAGUGAGAGCUGUGCUGGGGAUUUGUGCUUUGAGGGGGCCUGGAAAGGGCCAAGAGUCGGAGGGAGGAUUGCGUAGGAAUUAGGAUAAGGCUAGAACUGAAAAAGAGCAAGAGUUGGAGAACUGUAGUUUCCAAAUUUUUCUUACUGUAAUACUUUCACACUGUUAAUCCAGAGAGAAAAAAUGAAAGGGAAAUACUUUUAUAGCCCACUUGGCUUUCAACUUUUUCUGCCAGAAGAGCUUCUGUGACACCUUUGGCACGGGAGAAUAUUUGUUUUUCAGUUUAAAAUGGUAGUUUACCUGCUGAGGUCGGUAGAUGAAUAUUAUUGAGAGCUUGUGGCUUUCUGCCAUAAGGUUGGUAGUGCUAUCUUCCUUUUUGCAAGCCAGUUCAUAUAAAGUUGCACAGGUCACUCUGCCCAGCACCUCUCUAUGUGAACAGUUUAUAUUACCUGUAAGCUGGUUCUCAUCUUACACUCUCUGAAGAAUAAUCACUGAAGUCAAUGUUUCUUUUGGACACCAGGAUUAUAGCUUGUGCCACUAUUUAGUCACUGUUAAUUUUGACCCAUAGGUGUUUUGGAGAUGGAUAUUUGCCUGCUCUGCUUCUAAAUCUAGCUUGCUGCACUCUUACUACAUAAAAGUCUGGAAGAGACAAGAAGAGACCCCUCCCUCUAAAAUUUAAUCCAGAUUACAUGCAUUGUAUGGCACACAACAAGAACCACAGAGUCCUCUGCCAGUCCCAGAUCUUAUAAAAUCUAAACACACCAAUAAUCACGGAGUCUAUUUUUAAAUGUUUACCAUGACUCUCAAAGGCACAUACGCAUUUAACAUCUGUAUCUUUUUAAAGUGUUAUUUAUUCUAAUAUACCACAUCUCUGGCAGUAAUUUUGUGCUAAUUGCUCAGAACAUGCUGUCCUUUGGGAGGUUAUAAAUUUAAGUAUGACACUUACUGUGUUUUUUCAAAUUUACACAUAUUGAAUAUUUAACUAACUCAAGAUCAUUGGGAGCUUGAGGUGCCUGCCUAUUUCACUCCAAAAGUAUGGAUUUAUUACCAUGAGUCAGAGAAG